GGCGGCAGGCCUAACACAUGCAAGUCGAGCGGUAGAGAGAAGCUUGCUUCUCUUGAGAGCGGCGGACGGGUGAGUAAUGCCUAGGAAUCUGCCUGGUAGUGGGGGAUAACGUUCGGAAACGGACGCUAAUACCGCAUACGUCCUACGGGAGAAAGCAGGGGACCUUCGGGCCUUGCGCUAUCAGAUGAGCCUAGGUCGGAUUAGCUAGUUGGUGAGGUAAUGGCUCACCAAGGCGACGAUCCGUAACUGGUCUGAGAGGAUGAUCAGUCACACUGGAACUGAGACACGGUCCAGACUCCUACGGGAGGCAGCAGUGGGGAAUAUUGGACAAUGGGCGAAAGCCUGAUCCAGCCAUGCCGCGUGUGUGAAGAAGGUCUUCGGAUUGUAAAGCACUUUAAGUUGGGAGGAAGGGUUGUAGAUUAAUACUCUGCAAUUUUGACGUUACCGACAGAAUAAGCACCGGCUAACUCUGUGCCAGCAGCCGCGGUAAUACAGAGGGUGCAAGCGUUAAUCGGAAUUACUGGGCGUAAAGCGCGCGUAGGUGGUUUGUUAAGUUGGAUGUGAAAUCCCCGGGCUCAACCUGGGAACUGCAUUCAAAACUGACUGACUAGAGUAUGGUAGAGGGUGGUGGAAUUUCCUGUGUAGCGGUGAAAUGCGUAGAUAUAGGAAGGAACACCAGUGGCGAAGGCGACCACCUGGACUAAUACUGACACUGAGGUGCGAAAGCGU
rnacentral:rRNA from 1 species